rnacentral:lncRNA from 1 species
CCAUAUCAAUAGUUUAUCUGAAUAGUGAAGCCAAAAGUAUAUAUGAAAUUUUGUUUAACAAACUAUUUACAAUUAAUAUGGUUUAAUAAUUAAGGAUUAAUGUGAAGUUAGUGCAUUUUUCACCCUUGGUGUGGUGGAAACGUGCACUCUUUGCUCUUCCUAGAAGGAAACGUGUAUUUUCAGUAAUUACUUAACAAAGUAGAUUGAUUUGAAAGUAUUAUCAUUCAAAGCUCUCUCAUUUUCCUUGUCAUUUUAGGCAUUGCACGAAGAGAUCUCGGACGU